GAUUAGAGCUGCCAAACUAUGCCAAAGGCUGCGCUUCAGUUUCCAUUAGAAGUCUGAUUUUUGGCUUCUCCUCAAAACUGUGAAAAACUUCAUAGAUGCUGCAAAAUCCACAGCCACUUUCACUGGGCUACCAGCGCCAAACAAAAGGAACAGGAGCCCUCCAGGGGAAAAACCGGCAGUGGUUUGAGUCUUCCUUCACCUUACACAUGCUGAGCUUAAGAAGUGAUGACUUUUCCAUCACGGGCCUCCUGGGUCUUUCAGUUGGAUUCAGAAAUUCGUGUAAAGCUCAAAGAAGAAUGUGGGUCUGAAAGAUCUAAAGCAAGCUGUGGAAAAACAGGAGUGAGGUGGAAGCUACCCAGCUUUCUAUAUUUGGAAAUAAGAGUAUGUGCACUCCCAGCAGCUGCAAGUAAUUACAAGGGAAAAAAGGGCCUAAUAGGUUCCAGCCCAUCUGUGGUGCCACCAGGCUUUUGAACAGCCCAGGGUACGAAUUGCAGUGGUUCCGAAAUCUCAUUUAUAAGCCAGGGGCCAGCUGGAAAUUCAUGAGAUGUACUGAAAAUCUACAGCCAUGUGCUACCAGAAGUAUCGACCACCCCUUCAAGGAAUUGCUGUCGGAAAGUCUUCGUUCACCCCUGGGGCAGCGACAUCGGCAGUGUUUGCUGCUGCCACAGUUCUGUGCUGAGCCCGUUCUUGCAUCUGUGAUUAACGGAUUUUAAGACAACUUUAGCAGCGUUGGGUUUGUUCCCUCUCUUGGAAAGCAAGUUUUCUGUUCCCACUGUGACCUGCCAUACCUUAAAAGUUCAGGAGGCACAAUACUAACAGGAAAAGGAGGAGUGUGUAUUUCUGGGGGAUGGCAAUCUGGCAUGUUGAGGUGCUGCUCGUGGGGCCAGGUCUGGGGUGACCUCAUGAUACCUACCAUGCCAGAGACGGCCGUAAGUGUUGGGAUGCCUGAUGGUGUUAGGAACCCAAGACCUCUGGGGAGCCAAACCCUAGUUACAAAAGAAUAGAGGAAUGGCUCUGGAGUGUGUGCACAUGGGGGGAGAAUAAAUAAAUUAAAUACAAUACAUUGUAUUUGAGUAGGUUAUGAUGAAACCAAUUGGUCUGGUUUGCCUGAAAGCAACCCCCAGCCCUGUGCAGCAGUACCCUCAGCUCCUGCUUUCGUGCUUUCCUGCCUCCCCACCCCUGUUGUGGCAAGCGAUGGGCAGCAUCAGUUCCAACACCACCUGGCUGCCAGCCACACAUAACGCAGGGCUUUAUUUUACUUAGUGUGAAGUGAACGUUUCUGGCGUUGAGGACAUUACAGUGAGCUCAAACGUAGCUCAUCUGCAGGGCUUGCACAGAGGGAUGCUGUGCCCUCGGCCUCCAUUGUUAAUGCUGCUUGUGCUUUCCAGGGUGUGUUAUCUGCGCGGAGCCACAGCUGACCCAAAUACCGACAGCCACCAGUUGUCCUUUUGCUCAGAGCCUAUCAUCAUCAGAAUCUGGGUGAUCAGGUGCUGGAGAGAGAUUUGCCGAGGGAUCAUCCUGGCCCCAGAGAGCCUAGUCCUGCUCUUUGGAUUCUUGCUGAGCUCCCCAAAUCACAACCCAACCCCUACAGCCCCUUCGAGCCUGUAGCAGGCUGGCUUCUUGGACUCCAUAUAGGAGCUGAUGGGCAUGGUGCCCACAUAGGAGGAAGGCAGCCUGCGGUCCUGCUGCAUAGCUGGAGCAGUGUCACAGAGCCCCUGGGCCAAGCAUAAGGCUACAAGUGGCUAGAGGAGGAUGCAUUUAGCCAUCGGAGAACCGUGGGUCAUUUUAAAUAUAACAGAGAACAGAUGUAUGGCUUAAAAUGAAAAGGUAUGGUUUUAUCUAGAAAAAGGGUAAGCCCUGGGGAAAUUAACUGAGUGAAAAAGGAGGUAUUUAGGACAGUCGGUGCUGGGAAGAGAUCUGGAGAGGAGAAUUUUCUCCCUGCCUGAUGAAACUUUAUACACUGCCAUCUACGCAGGUAGACCCAUAUUUCAGGGAAGUGUUAGAGACCAGACAGAUCUCCCUUCUAACUUCACUCCAGUUUCUCUCAUCAGACAUACAAGGCUCUAACAAAAUAUAUUUUGGAGAAAAAGAUCUCUGGUAUGGCAGAACUGAAGCAAAAUUACUUCAAUUUUUUAUGGCCUAUGUUUCUAAAAAUAUAGAAGACUAAUAGAAAUCAUAAAAUAUUCACAAAGUCAGUAAUCCGUGUUUACAGAUAAUGUUGAAUUACGUCCGAUUUAAAUGGGAAUUUAAUGGAUGUCUUUGAACAGAACGAGCAGGUUUCUUCUCAGAGGAGGAGGAGGUUCAGGGAACCACUAAAGCCCAUCGUCAUAGCCUCGCCAAAGCCACCAGGCAGUCCGGAGCAGCAUGUGCUGCUACAUCUGCAGAGCAUCUCCUGUGCGAGGAGCUGGAUGCCUGCUUAGCUGGUGAGUUUGGCAGUGUGUGAAUUUCCCACUAUCCAGGAACAUAAACCAGCACUAUUCUGCACCAGCGGAUAGGGGGGUCUUUGUGCCAGGGUGUCAGGCUAGAUUGUGGCUUUGGGGAAGAGAAGCGGCUCUGAGGUCCCUCUCUGUCCCUGCAUGGGCUGUGUAGCCCUGGGGUUGGUGUGAGAUGGAAAGGGCUGUGCUCCCAUGAGGUCCCCAUCAAAGGGUCCCAAGGGAUGCACGCAGCUGGCUCUCUUGAAGCAAGCUCCAUUUCAUAGCAAAAAGCACUGACCUGGACUUGAAAACCUGGGAUUUGACAUCCAGUUCUGUCACGGACCUGCUGCCUAUCUUUAGAAAUGCAUGAAUGUGAGCUGAACUUUCCAACCCAUCAUACCUGAGGGAAUCUGAAACGAGGUCAGACAAGUUCACCCAUCCCUACAGGAUAAUCCUGCUGCUCUACCACAUUGCUCCAAAUGCUACAAGUUCCUGUCGGAGAGGAUGCAUACUUGCAGGACUGAGAAGAGAACUGGGGAUAUAUUAAACAGAGACAGACCAUGCACAGGAAAAUCAGCAAUCCUGCUGCUGGGGGUAUGCGCAUCGGUCAUCCCCUCUCUGGGAAGGACACCGUGUUGGACCUCUCUGGUUUCCUUGCAGUAAAACUGGAAAGGACAUCGCUGUAGCAAACCAGUCAGAUGGGCCUUAAUGAUUGUCACACCGCUGCAUGCCAAGGUCAUUCACAAAGUCACUGGUGACAGAUGGGGAAAAGCAGCUCUCCCUGCUUCAAAGGCACAGGAUGCUGCCGUUGGAGCUCGUUUCUCUUCUACAUGAUGGGCCUCGGUGCUUGCCACCAAGCAUGAAGGAAAAUCUGCAAAGUAAGUCGAUGUUUGUGGUUUCAGAACAUGAAGAGUAAUUUCCUUCACUGUUGCCAAGGCAGGACUGAAGGCAAGGAGCUGGCUCUCCCCAGCCAAGGACACCAGCCGGUGUUUGUCCCUCUUGUUCCUUUGCGACAUAAGCCGUUCCCAUUCCUGAUGCUGGCUGUUAACUCCUUCUGGAGUGUCAAAGGACAACUGCAAUAUGCUAACAAGGUCCAGUCCUUCCCUUAAGAAAAUAAGUAGCACUGAGGAGAGCAUCAUACUGCACCUGAAGCAAUGCAGCAAUAAGACACAUGCACUGGCUGGAACAGACCUUGACGUUGGGUGCAUAUGCACAGAGUUAGGGCUGAGCCUGGCUCAGAGGGUCCUGGUACUUUCUGAAUACUCUCUUAAAGAAGCAUUUCCAUCCCCUUUUGGAUGUCCAUCCUGGUGGCCCAGCCUGCUUAAGCCAGGCUCAGCAGCAUCCACCGUUCCCCCUCUUCUGUGUUACACUUCCCCCAUGCCCUCUUGGAGAGGAUGGUGACACUGCUGGCAAGGACAAGGGUUACUCACUUGUAACAGUGACAGGGACUAAAAAUACCCUCCAAGAAAAGCCUGUGGGGAGAGAGGCUAAUGGCAGAUUUGGCACAGAGACUGAGUAUCUUCAACCAGUUCUUAUUCACUCUUGGGAGCUGGAGAGGCCUCCCAGCCUUUCCCCCCCACCCCCGCCCCAGAUAUUUCCUGAUGUUUUCCUCUUCUUCUUCCUCCACCCUUUUGGAUCUGGAGUGUUUAUGAGAGGUAAGACAGUUGCCAUUUGGCAAAUCAGGAAUCCUUAAAUGGGCCACCAAAAUGCGCAUUGUUCCCAUCUGGCAGACAUCAGUGAGAUCAGGCAGGAAGUCACCCAUCCUCUGCACUUCCCAAAGCAUCCUGGCUUCUCCCAGAAGGGCAGGGCUGGUGAACAAGAUAAACUCAUGGGCAUUUUGAGAAACUCAAGCAAAGUUCAGAGCUCCUUACAUGCACCUAGUCUGUGUGAAGCCGGAGCUAUUUUCCCCAUUUUGGAGCUGAUCUGCAGGCACUGAUGCUCUAUCUGUUCCGGUGCCUCGCCCUUCACAGGUUAAAUCUUAGCACCUGGCUGUCACGGUGGGCUCAGGCACUCACAGCUCACCAAAGAAUAACUUGAAUGACACACUUGAACAUCCAGCAGAGGAAGGAUGGUGGCUGCCAUUUGGUUAUAUGGUUGAAAAAGCAAGAUUCUGGCAUGGCAGCUCCACACUGUUGCUCUGAGAUGAGGCGUAAGUGGGAGUACAAGUGUCAUGAGGAGGAAUAUACAACUCUUCCCCACAUAAAGAAAGCUCCUUCAGCUCUGAAAUGCAGUUCUGGGUCAAGCAGCAGCAGGAUUACUCAUUUUAGCUUUACAAUUGAGCUAAGAUACAGUUCUAAACCAGUUUGGUCCAGCGUAUCCUGGCUGAGAAAAUUGCAUCAACCAAGUUUAGACUGACUUGCUUUUUAAAAAAGGAGGAGCUGUAUUGAAACACCCCUCCUAUCCACCCCUCCUUAGUAGCACGUUAAAGUCACCUUUCUUCAAGCCAAAUCUGUUCUCGGAUCUGUCAGCGAAAGGAGACCCCCUUAGCAAACGAACUGGGUGACAGUCUUUGGAGAUGAUCCAACUUGCUAGCGAAGCUGAACGGAGAGCAAAUUACACCCUCUCAAGCCAGGGAAUGUUGUGGGUGACAGAAAAACACCCUGUUGGGGAUGACAACUGUGUUUUCACAAUCAAGCCAAAGCCUUGGGGUUACGGCAGGGACGGCUGAGACAUCACAGUGAACCUGCAGUGAAGGAGAGCUCUGCACCCUCUGCCGCAGAGGUAACACUGGUUGAAGCUCUGGUCACAGCAAAUGCAUGAGGAUGGCGGGUGAUGUUCAGCCUAAACCACCGCACCUCCACAAUCCAGCCCAGGCUGUCUGUUCAUCUCACCCAAUGAGGCCAAGCCCCAAGCAGAUGAAAACUGGUCCAAUCCAGAAACUCCAAACUUAUGUGAAUAUUUUGCACCUUUCAUACCUCUGAUGGGAAGCCUUGUACACAUGGGAUCCAAGUUUCUGACUCCUACUUCCAUUGCUAUGGUAAAGAGCAUCAAAAGCUGGUGUAUAGUUCAAAGCAUUUGCUUUGACGCAGUCUUGAGUCUGCAUGGAUUUGGGUAUUAAAGUCUCUUUCUUUUCAGUAAUAAGUCACACUAUGUUUGCAGAUUUUAUUAACUUGAACAAAGUAAGAUAAAUCUUAUUUAGCUUUCAUGAUGUACCCACCAUGCAAAUGCCAACCAAUCUGCAUUUAAAAACAAACAAAACCUACCAAAAAAAAAGAAAGGAAGAUACGUAUUUUUAACUCUGAUUCAAUGCACAGCAGCAACCCCCCCUGUACAUCAUAACUAGGAGGGAGGAGUGAUGCAGAGGCAGGGACAAACAGGCUUGGAGAAAAGAGCAGGGAAAAAAAAAAGAAAAAAAAAAAAAAAGAGGAACUUCUUAAGCUGUUAUUGCCACUGCAGUCUUCAUAUCUCAAACCCAGUACAAGAAACAACUGAAUUACAGUAAAAUAAUUACUGGGCUAAUGAGGGCAGACAGGCAAUUGCAGUAUUCCCAGAGUUUUCUUCCUUCCCUUUCCUUAAAAUAAUUGGUAAACAAAGUGGGUUAUUUAUAAAUACAGACAGACCACACAACCCAAACCAGGACAGCUAAGUAGAGAGAAUGGGAACAAUUAUUUGCCUGGGAUUUGGGAUUCAUUUAAAGGAAAAGCUUCCUUCAAGGAAAUGGUGCUGUAUACCAUCAAAACUAACUUCACAGCUUGCUAUUAAACAUCCAAGCUGCUUUAAAAAUCUGCUCGGAGAUGCUGAAAAUAUAGAUUUAACUCCUAAUGAGGUGUUAAGUGGCUCAGUAGUUUAUUUCCUUCCCAGAGGCUAACUAUCAUGUCAGAAGGGAAAGGGCAGCUACCAGCCUUGAUAUUUCAGUGAUCCCCAUCAGGGCUGGAGGAAUUAUUAUCACCUUGUUUGCCACAAGCCAAUGAGCUCUCCUAGUUUCAGCAGCACAGUAGGGUGUUUUUUUUCUUAUUAUCAUUCAUUUUAUAGCAGCCACUGUUAUUUCUAGCUGGGGUUAAACACUACAGGAAGGAUGACAAAAAAGUAGUCUGUGCUUGGGGAAGCUUGUCAGGCAAUCUCAGCAAGAUGAGGAGCUCCCACUGAAAGCCAGCUUGUUAGGCAUUAUGGGGAAAACAUCCCCUAAUGACAUGGGAUGCUAGCUACUUGCUGCUUUUUUUAAGCAUCAGGUUUUCUAACUCAGCACAGGCCACCUCUAAUCAAUGUGUUUUUUAAGCCUCAGCUGUCAGCUGCUUUUGAGCAGAGCCUCUGAGAGCAAAGCUGGGAAUGGUUUGCAGAGGCUUUUUUAGCACAGAGCAGGCUGAAGUCAGGAUGAGGUAAAUAUUUAAUUUUGUUUUGGUUGUCUUCUGUCUGUGUAGGUGCUGCUUUGCUGAGAUACAGUCUAUUGUGCUAAGCAGCAGGGUCUGUAGCUUUGUGUGGCUGCAGAGCUUUAGCUUCAUUUCUCUGCUCGAGCUGCCCACGUGGUGGGAUGAGGCUGAGUGCUAAUGAUUUCCAUGAUGAGGGCAAUACAAGGUGUCAGUCUGUCUGCAAGGUGGGAAGCACUAUGGAAAAGUUACUACUAAAGCAUGCUGAUAAUAACGAAGUACAGGCAAGUCCUUGUUCUUUUGGGGUAUUGCUUGGCUCACUGAAGAGCUGUGUGGGCUAUGAUAUAUGUUCUCCUUUGGUGAUAAGGUAACGGGAUGAUUGUAUCCCAUCAUGCUGGUACCUAAUGCCCUGUGUGCUCUGAAGAUGUGCAGCUGUGUACAGUCGGGUCUGCAGGUGGGAUUAUGAAGGGGAAUGUGGAAACAGAAGCUU